rnacentral:rRNA from 2 species
CGGCCCGCGUCUGAUUAGCUAGUUGGUGGGGUAACGGCCUACCAAGGCGACGAUCAGUAGCUGGUCUGAGAGGAUGAUCAGCCACACUGGGACUGAGACACGGCCCAGACUCCUACGGGAGGCAGCAGUGGGGAAUAUUGGACAAUGGGGGCAACCCUGAUCCAGCCAUGCCGCGUGAGUGAUGAAGGCCUUAGGGUUGUAAAGCUCUUUUAUCCGGGACGAUAAUGACGGUACCGGAGGAAUAAGCCCCGGCUAACUUCGUGCCAGCAGCCGCGGUAAUACGAAGGGGGCUAGCGUUGCUCGGAAUCACUGGGCGUAAAGGGCGCGUAGGCGGUCUUUUAAGUCGGGGGUGAAAGCCUGUGGCUCAACCACAGAAUUGCCUUCGAUACUGGGAGACUUGAGUUCGGAAGAGGUUGGUGGAACUGCGAGUGUAGAGGUGAAAUUCGUAGAUAUUCGCAAGAACACCGGUGGCGAAGCGGCCAACUGUUCCGACACUGACGCUGAGCUCUGAUACGCGU